rnacentral:lncRNA from 1 species
CACAAGGAAAGGAUGCUUCUGUGGAAAUCCCUCCUUUUGGAGUGUUUAGUGAGCCCUGAUCAUUGGAUGGGUGACCACAAGUCUUCUGCAAGUGCUGAAAAGCAGUUUGCUGCCCCUGCAUCACCAGCUGUGCAGACACGUUUAGUACCUGUGCUCGACGGACGGUGAGCAGCCACCUUGUGCUGAGUGGUACCUGGGGGGGAGACUGAGCAUGCAGCCUCUGCUAGGUGCCAUGCAUGCCUUAUUCUGAUGUAUACAAAGGCUGAUAGGAUCCGGCCCAAAGAUGUAGGUGGGAGAAUCAUUACAAGAAGAUAUGCUGGGCUCUGCUUUAGAAGCUGGGAUGUAUGCUGGAGUUCUUCCUUCUGACCUGGAGCUGCCUUGCAAGCUACCAUUGCUCUGACUUCCUCAAUGGAACCUCAUGGGUGGUGAAUGAUAUGCUGAUUCAAGCUGUACAGGAGAAACCAACAACUCAACUCUGUAUUGUGAUGAGACUCUCAGUGCUGUAUGGACAGAAUGGGGAAGCAUUCAAGCGCGUUUCCUUUCUCAGCACGUGGGAUACAGGAGGGCAGCAAAGCAUCACCUGUGAUGAACCACUCAUGUAUCCUUCUUGUAUCUGCAGGUCAGCUGCUGUUUAUGUUCGUUAGUAAAUUAUGUGCCAACCUCAUCACGUCACCCUGCAAUCACAGUGCUGUGUUCCAUGUGUCCAACCUCCAUACAUUUGUGUUUAUAUUGAGCUAUUGCAUCCUGCUCAGGGGUGAGGGCACCUCUCUGCUGCUGCACAAAUUGGAGAACUUCUGCUUCACCAAAGCUCAUAAUGCCUUCAAGGCAUCGGUUCCUCUCAUAGCAUUUCCCAAUCAAAGUAUUAAAAUGAGAGUUUUAUAUCCAGCCAAUACUCUUCUCAUAGCUGAUAAAGGCAAAUGAGGAAUCAUUUAUAUGAUUUAGGUUAUGAGAAGAGUAUAGGAAGAGAAUAUAAGCAAAGCAUUUAUUUCCCACCUGUAUAGAAAUGAAGCUGCUGUUUCUAAUAAAUCCUACUUGAAAAGAUGGCACUGUUAUGAAAGAACGGAGAGAGAGACCUGAGGCUUUACCUUCGUGCUGCUCCAGCCCCCAGGAGUUCAAGUGGGUUUUCUCUUUCCCAGCCCUUGAAUCAGCAGGCAGAAACUGUGGGUGCUGGCUGAAAGGGGGAGGAUGCUCUGAAGUGAGAUGUAGCUGCACCACAGCCUGGAGGCAGAAGGAGGGCUGUGUGUGCUCAGGGCUGCUGGGGGGGGAGGGUGGUUCGGAAAGCAAAACGAUCCUAUUCAACAAUAGAGGAGAAAUUAGGAGCUUGAAAAUAGCAGCAAAUUGGAAUGAAAAGAAUGCCAAUUACCAACUUUGAUCCCUCUUUUCUUUAUUUUUGUUUGAAAGAAAUAUUUUGUGAUAGGCACAUCUUGAAGUUUUCCACUUUUCUUUUGUUUUAAGCAGUGGGAGAUUUGGUAAACCUGUCCUUUAUCCUGCAAAUUCCCACCCUGAACCCUUUGUCCUAAAACUUCUGACUAAUUUCUAGGUAUUUUGAAUACUUAAGUUUGAGAAGACGUGGGAACUGACGACUUCUGUCCUCCGAGGAGAUGGCAUGAAUUACUGCAAGCAUUGGCUGCUCUGUGACUGUGCUGCAAACGGGAGUGUGUGCAAGUGGGACACGAGGGGAGAACAGCUUCAUGCCUCCCUUCUCCAGCAAGCAGGUAACUGUGCAUUGAAGUACGCCGGUAUUCUGCUGUUGUGCUGGGAGUGCCUCCUGCUCCACGUAUGGCAGAAUGAGACCCAUUGCUCACCACCCCACACGGCAUAUCGCUGCAUCGAUCAAACGCUGCUGCAAUAAAAGUCAGGCCCUAUCCAUGUGCCAAUACGGAGGGAUGUUUCUGAUUAUAAAUUCUCUAUGCAGAGUGCUGGCUAGCUCAUUGAAAAGGCAGAAAUCAAUGACAUUAGCACUCAUAAACCACAUGCAUUGUGACUGCUUCUCAGAACAGCCCUAAUUGGCAUAUGUCUGUCUUAUUGGCCUGCCUCAUAACAAUGCCCCAAAUGAUUCAUGAGACCAAAUAAGAAACAGGUGCAACCAAAACAGCACUCUGUGCCAAAAAUUCAUCUCUUAUGUAAGGAGAGGGGCCAAGGGCAUGGCUCAAACUGCUCCUUAUCGACUCCAGGAUGUGACUUCAACUCCCUGAAAGAAGCAUGUAGUGAAGUGGGGGUUGGACUCUGCCCCAGCAAUAAGAUGAGAGGGGAAUGGCCUCAGACUGUACAGGGAGGGUCAGGUUGGCUCUCAGAGCAAUGUCUGCUCCAGAGAGCAGCCAGGCACUGGCACAGCUGCCCAGGGGUGGGCAGUCCCCGUCCAUGGAGGUGUUCAGAGCCGCGGGGAUGUGGCACUGAGGGGUGGGCAGUGGGCACGGG